GACGAACGCUGGCGGCGUGCUUAACACAUGCAAGUCGAACGGAAAGGCCCUGCUUUUGUGGGGUGCUCGAGUGGCGAACGGGUGAGUAACACGUGAGUAACAUGCCCUUGACUUUGGGAUAACUUCAGGAAACUGGGGCUAAUACCGGAUAGGAGCUCCUGCUGCAUGGUGGGGGUUGGAAAGUUUCGGCGGUUGGGGAUGGACUCGCGGCUUAUCAGCUUGUUGGGGGGGUAGUGGCUUACCAAGGCUUUGACGGGUAGCCGGCCUGAGAGGGUGACCGGCCACAUUGGGACUGAGAGACGGCCCAGACUCCUACGGGAGGCAGUAGUGGGGAACAUUGCACAAUGGGCGGAAGCCUGAUGCAGCAACGCCGCGUGCGGGAUGACGGCCUUCGGGUUGUAAACCGCUUUCGCCUGUGACGAAGCGUGAGUGACGGUAAUGGGUAAAGAAGCACCGGCUAACUACGUG
rnacentral:rRNA from 1 species